GGAAAUUUAGCUCAGUUGGUAGAGCGUUGGUCUCCAAAACCAAAGGUCGCAGGUUCAAGUCCUGCAAUUUUCGUCA
rnacentral:tRNA from 1 species